GUAACGAGAAAGGUUUCUCCUCGCCUUUGGUGAAAGAGGAAAGGGCAGGGGCAAAGAUUUACACAAGUAUAUCAGCUCUCUUCUUGAACAUAGAUGCUUAGAGAAGAAGCAAGGAGUAGGCAGAGGGACAACUAUGGUACUGAAUGAAGAUUUGCCCCAUUUUAUUGAUUAUUUAUUUGGACAUCUUAGAGAAUGGAUACUGUAUUUAGUAAGAGAAGUUCCUCUUCUGUCGAAGAAAGUUCGGACCUCUAUAACCAACAUCAAAUGGGAGCAACUAGGAGUCGUGAAGAUCAUCGGCUUAGCAAUUGUCGUGAUCUUGAUGCUUGUGGUGUUCAAAAAAGCUUGCUCAUAUUGUUGCAAGUGUGGCAAGACUAUGAAAGCUCCGGGGCGAAAUAUGCGCAUUUUUCGGUCUAGAUUCGAGCAAAACCCUAGAGGCUACUUUCGCCAAUUGCGCAGCGAUCUUAGGUAGAAUAGACGGUUUAAAAUGUGUUAUUGUAGAAUCUAAAGAUAUGGUGUUGCAUGUAUACUAAGAGUCUGUGAGGGAGAACAGUUAGAACCCCAAGUGGCUUUGAGAUGCUUUUUGGUUUUGGUUUGUGUUAGUAAACAGUUGUUCUUUUGGUUUGAAACAGUAAUCUAUUAGUCUUGAAGUGCUUGCUGGUUAGAGUUUA